AGUGAACGCUGGCGGUAGGCCUAACACAUGCAAGUCGAACGGCAGCACAGGAGAGCUUGCUCUCUGGGUGGCGAGUGGCGGACGGGUGAGGAAUACAUCGGAAUCUACUCUGUCGUGGGGGAUAACGUAGGGAAACUUACGCUAAUACCGCAUACGACCUACGGGUGAAAGCAGGGGACCUUCGGGCCUUGCGCGAUUGAAUGAGCCGAUGUCGGAUUAGCUAGUUGGCGGGGUAAAGGCCCACCAAGGCGACGAUCCGUAGCUGGUCUGUGAGGAGGUUCAGUAAAACUGGAACUGGGGCGGGGUCCAGACUCCUACGGGAGGCAGCAGUUGGGAGUAUUGGACAAUGGGCGCAAGCCUGAUCCAGCCAUACCGCGUGGGUGAAGAAGGCCUUCGGGUUGUAAAGCCCUUUUGUUGGCAAAGAAAUCCAGCUGGCUGAUACCCGGUUGGGAUGACGGUACCCAAAGAAUAAGCACCGGCUAACUUCGUGCCAGCCGCCGCCGUAA
rnacentral:rRNA from 1 species